rnacentral:sRNA from 1 species
UGCCUGCAGGUCUAUGGAGCGGUUGCGGUGGCCGGUUGUGAGAAGGUAUUUGAGAUUGGGCAGGGAGGAGAUGAGCUCUGCGGGGAACGGCGUACGUUCGCGCAUUGUGGAGAUUAUGUGAUAUGGCUGUAGCCGGCUGAUGAGAGCUGCUUUGUCGGCUUCAUUGUGCGUUGGAUGCAGCGUCUCUGCGAACGAGGUUAUGGUUGUGAGAUGUGGUUUCAGGUGGGAAAAUUUUGUGGGAGCGAUGCAUUGGUAGUCAUCGAGGAUGGCGAGGUUGAGUGGACCAUUUGGUUGCAUGAUCGGUUCGGUCUUGAUAUGGGAAAAUUGUGCGACUGAUGUGGAAAGGAUGAGGCGGGGUUUGACAUUAUGGCUCAGUUGAUUCUGCUGGCUAUAUUGAUUGGGAUGGUUGUUGAUAUCUCCAAUUUGCACUAGUGGGGCUAAUAACUUAGAGUUUGUCUACAUUUAUGGAAAAACGAACAUGAAU